rnacentral:misc_RNA from 1 species
GAUGAAGAACGUAGCGAAAUGCGAUAAGUAAUGUGAAUUGCAGAAUUCAGUGAAUCAUCGAAUCUUUGAACGCAUCUUGCGCUCCUUGGUAUUCUGAGGAGCAUGCCUGUUUGAGUGUCACUAAAUUCUCAACUACACUGACUUUGAAUUGGUGUGGCUUGGAUUUGGGGGGAAAAUUGUUGUGGGCUUUUUGUAUAGUCUGCUCCCCUGAAAUUGAUUAGCGGUACCUUUGUGGAACUGUCUACAGGUGUGAUAAUUAUCUACAUCUUAGACAUCUGCUGGAAUGCUGCUUUCUAAACCUUACUUGUAUUGACAAUCUUGACCUCAAAUCAGGUAGGACUACCCGCUGAACUUAAGCAUAUCAAUAAGCGGAGGA